GCCUGGGUGGCUCAGUCGGUUGAGCAGCCGACUUCGGCUCAGGUCACGAUCUCGCGGUCCGUGGGUUCGAGCCCCGUGUCGGGCU
rnacentral:tRNA from 1 species